rnacentral:lncRNA from 1 species
AUUUCCAGUGGCUGGGAAGAAAACAAUAGCCUGGCUACUGAGCUGUCUCUCCAGGUGAGCAGUGGCUGGAACAGGACUUAUUCUUGUGGGCGAAGGUGGCUGUGAUUUAAGAACACUGGAAAAGAAACAGCCUCAUUUCAGAAAAAUGUCUGUGCUGAACUCAAGUGACUCGAGAUGGGGAAAUGGCAGCUGGCAUACAUCAUGGUGGCCAGACGCCUCUUCAGGGCUACACAGACCUGGGCCAGCUGGCGGUCCCAGAAGCUCCCGGUCCCUGCCAAGCCUGGAAGACACCUCAUACAGGAUUAAAAUCCUGCCACACACNAAAAAAAAAAAAAAAAAAAAAAAAAGAUUUUAUUUUUUUAAAGUAAUCUCUACACCUAAUAUGGGGCCUGAAUUUACAACCCAGAGAUUAAGAGUCACAGGCUCCACUGACUGAGCCAGCCAGGUACCCCAAGAAUUUUUCUUUUAUUUAACAAAUACUUCUAUAGUUCUUACUAUGUACCAGGUACACUUUUAAAAUCUAUUUAAAUCAUUUUAAUGACAUAAUUAAAUAACAUCCUAAUGACAAUUUAUAGAUGAGAACACUGAAUCACUAUAGUUAAAUGACUUGUCCAAGGGAACAAUGAGGUUCAUGUGGCGGUGAGUCCAUGGCCUGAACCAGUUCAAUAAGCUACCUAACCAUCUGGCCUGGGCUACAGCCCUAGGUAGGGGGGUCUCAGGUGAAGCUGGGCCAGCAAGGUAAGCCUCAUGAUGUAGGGUUCUGUGAGGCUGUGUGCAUAGGAGUUCCAUGCACUGUAUGAGGGCUGCAGAGCAGGAGAAAUUUGGCUGGCGUGAUCUGAUUGUUGAUUUAGAAAGAUCUUCUUCAUGACUGAAUGUAGGAUGCAUUACAAGGGGCUGAGGUCUGAGAGAGAGAGAGAAAGUCUGAUGCAGUAGAUAGUCCAGAGGAGCAAGAUUGCUGGCAUGAAUAAGGGCAGUGACAGUGGUGGCGGAGAAGAGGGAUAUGGAUUUGAAGAAUUUUUGCUUCUCCCUCUACCUAUGUCUCUGCCUCUCUAUCCCUGUGUCUCUCAUGAAUAAAUAAAUAAAAUCUUGAAAAGGGAAGGGGCA